CGCACUCCUGUGUGGAUUUAAUAUCAGUCUCUGGUUGGUUCUCGCUGGGUCUAACAGUCAACUUGAUUGGAUGGAGAAAAGUCUAGGAAGUUAGUAAAGCACACUUGUCGGUGUGUCUGUGAGAAUGCUUUCAGAGAUAAUUGGCAUGUGGGACAGUAAAAUGAAGGGAGACCCACCCUGAAAGUGGUGGCAUUGUCCAAUAGGCUGGGGCCCAGAUGGAAUGAAAACAGGAGAAAAGGAGGAAAGCAGUGAGGGUCAUGCUUACUCUCCUGCUCUCGCUCCUUCUCAUGCUCUGACUCCCUCUUACCUUCUCAUUCCCUCUUGCUCUCACUUUCUUGCUCUCUCUGCUCCCAGCUGCCAUGAAGUGAGCAGCUUUUCUCUACCACACCUUCCCACAAUGGUGUUUCUGCCACACCACAGGCCUAGAAGCAGUGGGACUGGCUAUCAGCUGAAGCCUCUGAAAUCAUGACCCAAAAUAAACCUUUCCUCCUUUGAGUUUUCAGGUAUUUUGCCCCUAAAGACAACACAUCAGGAUCAGGUAUUCUGGUUUUUUGUUUUUUUUUUUUUUUGGUACCUGGGAUCCAACUCACAACCUUGCACUUGUAAGGCAGGCACAGUGCCACUGACCUAAAUCCCCAGCCCAAGUAUUCUGUUCUUAAUAAUAGAAUAUGGGCUAAAACAAUCACACAAAAUCCUUCCUAAAUUUCUCCAUGUAUAAUUCUUUUUUUUUUUUUUUUGGUACUGGGGUUCGAACUCGGGGUCCUUGCACUUGUGCAACAGGCGGUGAAACCACUGAGCUAAAUCCCCAGCCCUUCAUGUAUAAUUCUUCAGAUUCUAUGCUGAGAAGUAAAUCUCACUUAGAUACUGAUGACACUUAGCAUCUCUUUUUAAGCCACUUUUUCCUAACCUCUUAUUUUAAAUUGUAGAUGUAAACUAUACAAACAGAAUCUCUGUAUCUCUUCUCUCGGCUUCCCCUAAUGUUAACAUUCUAUCCAGCCAUAGUGCAAUUGCUAAAGCUAGGAAGUGUGUACUGGUACUGUGCCUUUAAGUACAAAUCCUGUUUGACUUUGACCAGGGUUCCUCCUAUAAUACUGCACUGGAUUGCCACGUUUCUUGGUCUCCUCCCAUCUGACAGCUCAUCUUUCAUGACCUUGACACUUGGGAAGUAUAGUGCUUGGGUGUUUUAUAGGAUGUCCUUCAACUUUCGUGGGUCUGAAGCCUCAGUGGAAUAAGAUUUUGGCAGGAAUGCCACCAAAAUGAUGUGACCUUCUCAGUAUCUCUUAUUAGCCUUGAUUACUUGGUUAUGACAGUGUCUGCUGGGUUUCUUCAUUAUAAAUCUAUUCUUCCCUUGAUUGUUAAUAUCUUGUGGGGCAAUACUUAGAGACUGCAAAUAUCUUGUUCCUCUUCAAACUUUGUCUACUAUUAAUUUUAGUAUCUACCAAUUGAUUUUGACUCAACAACCCACCAAGCUUUCCAACAGGAGGAUGCACCUUAUUUACUUGAAGUUGAGUUGAAAAUAGCACAAAUAAGUGGAUGAAAUACUGAACUGAAAUAUUUUCUUAACAUUUGCUUCUUGGUUUGUUUGUUUGAGGUUUUUUUUGGAGACGGGGUCUCGCUGUGUAGUUCACGCUGACCUCAAACUCAUAUCCCCCUGCCUCAGCCUCUUGAGUGCAAGGAUUACAGGCUGUCACCUGCUUCCUCCCCUGCAGUGACCUCCUUUCAGGUAGGUAAGUCUUCAGAGGACGUGGCCCUGGAAGAAGAGACCAUCUGUGAGAACAGUCAGCCCAAGGAGGCUUCUCUAUGGACAGAUCACCCAGGGG
ensembl:lncRNA